CUCGUCAUAAGCCACGCAGGGCGGUUUCUUGGCCGCGAACUUCUCCAUCACGAUGGACUUGUCCAGCUUCCAGAGGGGCCGGUAGCGCUUCCACUUCUGCAGGAAUGUGGUUAAAACCUUCCAGUGUGCCAGGACCAGCCAGCAAGAGGCCAGCCUGGUCUACAAAGUGUGGGAUGGGGGACUGAUCCAGAUGGUCCACGGCAGCAGACCAUUUGCCUCGUGCAGGCUCUGGGAGGAGCUCUUUGCCAGCUGCAGUAGCUUGAAUCUGAGGACUCUGGAGAGAGAAUAAACGCCAGAGCCCAGGGAGUGGAGGAGAAAGAACAAGGCUGCUCGCUGCUCCUGUUUGCUGUUGUGAAACAAGAAGAUGGAGAUCUCCUGACUGAACUGCCUCCAAAAAAGCUGGCAACCCUGGCCAGCAGGAAGCAGCUAAGAGAACUGUGCCCCCUCUCCCACAAACCCUUUCUCUCCUACCUGACGUUGGAAGAGACUGGAGUAGAGUAGGGAGAAAAGGACACAAGAAAUGUAAAUAAAGAGGUUUUUUUUUUUUAAGUUUGCCAACA